CCUACGGGAGUCAGCAGUGGGGAAUAUUGGGCAAUGGAGGAAACUCUGACCCAGCAAUGCCGCGUGAAUGAAGAAGGUCUUCGGAUUGUAAAGUUCUUUAGUCAGGGAAGAAUAAAAUGACGGUACCUGAAGAAUAAGCUCCGGCUAACUACGUGCCAGCAGCCGCUGUAAUACUUAGGGAGCAAGCGUUGGUCGGAAUGACUGGGCGUAAAGGGUUCGUAGGGGGUUAUACAAGUUAGAAGUGAAAUACCCAGGGCUUAACUCGGGUGCUGCUUCUAAAACUGGAAGACUUGAGUGGAGUAGAGGUUAGGGGAAUGUCUAGGUGUGCGGUGGAAUGGGUAGAUAAUAGGAGGAAAACCAGAGGCGAAGGCGGCUAAACGGACUGCAAAUGACGCUGAGGCAAGAAAGGGUGGGGAGCAAACAGGAUUAGAUACCCCAGUAGUC
rnacentral:rRNA from 1 species